rnacentral:sRNA from 1 species
AAAGAAACUUUAGCGCGUCUUCUCCAUCCGGAAGGCAAAUACUCAGAAUCAGGAAC